rnacentral:rRNA from 1 species
AUGGCCAAGAUGAUAGCUGCUGUCAUUGUCUGCGUGUUAGUUUUAGCCCUGGAUAUCACUGCUGGCAUACUAGGACUUCAGGCCCAGGCUGCACAAAACAAGACUAAAAAGGUGACAGUGCUCUUCAUCCAAUGCGAGAAACCUGUGUAUAAAGCAUACCAGCUAGGGCUCGCGGCAGCAGUGUUCCUGGUAGUUGCUCAUGCAGUGGCCAACUUUCUCGGUGGCUGUGCCUGUAUCUGCUCUCAGCUGGAGUUCAUCCGGGCAUCCAUCAACAGGAAACUCGCAGCAACUCUUAUAAUUCUCUCAUGGAUUGCUCUCAUCGUCGGCUUCUCGUUACUGCUUGCUGGGGCCAUGUCCAAUUCCAAGUCGAAGACAUCAUGCGGGUUCGUGCACGGCAAGACCCUGGGCCUGGGAGGGAUCAUGUGCUUCGUCCAUGCGGGGAUCACAGUCGCCUACUAUGUCACCGCCACCGCAGCGGCACACGAAAUUCAUUAG